GAUGAACGCUAGCGGGAGGCCUAACACAUGCAAGCCGAGCGGUAUUUGUUCUUCUGAACAGAGAGAGCUGCGCACGGGUUCGGAACACGUGUGCAACCUGCCUUUAUCUGGGGGAUAGCCUUUCGAAAGGAAGAUUAAUACCCCAUAAUAUAUUGAGUGGCAUCAUUUGAUAUUGAAAACUCCGGUGGCUAGAGAUGGGCACGCGCAAGAUUAGAUAGUUGGUUAGGUAACGGCUCACCAAGUCAAUGAUCUUUAGGGGGCGUGAGAGGGUGAUCCCCCACAUGAGUACUGAGACACGGACCAGAGGACUGCGGGACGCAGCAGUGAGGAACAGUGGGCAAUGGGUGAGAGCAUGAGACAGCCAUCCAGCGUGAAGGACGACGGCCCUAUGGGUUGUAAAAUUCUUUUGUGUAGGGAUAAACCUACUAUCGUGAGAGUAGAUGAAGGUACUAGACGAAUAAGCACCGGCUAACUCCGUG
rnacentral:rRNA from 1 species